UUUCUCUCUUGGACAUCGGAUAAAAUUGAAACGAUACAGAGAAGAUUAAAAUGGCCCCAUCGCAAGGAAGACACGUACAAAUCGAACAAUGGUAAAAAAAAUUU